GAAAUGCGAUAAGUAAUGUGAAUUGCAGAAUUCAGUGAAUCAUCGAAUCUUUGAACGCACAUUGCGCCCCCUGGUAUUCCGGGGGGCAUGCCUGUCCGAGCGUCAUUACAACCCUCAAGCCUAGCUUGGUGUUGGGCCCCGCCGCCUGGCGGGCCCUAAAGUCAGUGGCGGUGCCGCCCGGCCCCGAGCGCAGUAACUCUUCUCGCUCUGGAGGCCUGGGCGCGUGCCUGCCAACAGCCCCCCAUUUUUUCAGGUUGACCUCGGAUCAGGUAGGGAUACCCGCUGAACUUAA
rnacentral:misc_RNA from 1 species